rnacentral:tRNA from 1 species
ACCUCACUGGCUCAGUAGGUAAAGCCUGUGACUUUUGACCUCAGGAUCCUGAGUUCAAACCCCACGUGGGGUG